rnacentral:misc_RNA from 1 species
CAGGAAAUAUGGCUUAAACAUGUGCCGUAGGUGCUUCAGAGAGUAUGCUGAUGACAUUGGCUUCAAGAAGCUUGAUUAAGUCAGAAGGAAGUAAAGUAGUCUUGAUGUUGGAAUGAAGAGGCUGCCACAAGAACUCUAAUUUACAUGUUUGAUUGUUGUAAAAAAAACCUCAUGAUUAAAAACAUCAAACUAC